rnacentral:rRNA from 1 species
CCUACGGGAGGCAGCAGUGAGGAAUAUUGGUCAAUGGACGAGAGUCUGAACCAGCCAAGUAGCGUGAAGGAUGACUGCCCUAUGGGUUGUAAACUUCUUUUAUAUGGGAAUAAAAUGUUCCAUGUGUGGGAUUUUGUAUGUACCAUAUGAAUAAGGAUCGGCUAACUCCGUGCCAGCAGCCGCGGUAAGACGGAGGAUCCGAGCGUUAUCCGGAUUUAUUGGGUUUAAAGGGAGCGCAGGUGGAUUGUUAAGUCAGUUGUGAAAGUCUGCGGCUCAACCGUAAAAUUGCAGUUGAAACUGGCAGUCUUGAGUACAGUAGAGGUGGGCAGAAUUCGUGGUGUAGCGGUGAAAUGCUUAGAUAUCACGAAGAAUUCCGAUUGCGAAGGCAGUUCACUGGACUGCAACUGACACUGAGGCUCGAAAGUGUGGGUAUCAAACAGGAUUAGAUACCCCUGUAGUC